rnacentral:misc_RNA from 1 species
GAUGAAGAACGCAGCGUAAUGCGAUAAGUAAUGUGAAUUGCAGAAUUCAGUGAAUCAUCGAAUCUUUGAACGCACAUUGCGCCCGCCAGUAUUCUGGCGGGCAUGCCUGUUCGAGCGUCAUUACAACCCUCAGGCCCCCGGGCCUGGCGUUGGGGAUCGGCGGAAGCCCCCUGUGGGCACACGCCGUCCCUCAAAUACAGUGGCGGUCCCGCCGCAGCUUCCAUUGCGUAGUAGCUAACACCUCGCAACUGGAGAGCGGCGCGGCCAUGCCGUAAAACACCCAACUUCUGAAUGUUGACCUCGAAUCAGGUAGGAAUACCCGCUGAACUUAAGCAUAUCAAUAAGCGGAGGA